ACACGUAGGAGGCAAGCGUUAUCCGGAUUUAUUGGGCGUAAAGCGCACGCAGGCGGCCAAGUAAGUCGGGUGUGAAAGCCCCGGACUCAAUUCGGGGAGGUCAUUCGAUACUGCUUGGCUUGAGAGCGGGAGAGGGAAGCGGAAUUCUCGGUGUAGUGGUGAUAUGCGUAGAUAUCGAGAGGAACACCAGUGGCGAAGGCGGCUUCCUGGCCCGUUUCUGACGCUAAGGUGCGAAAGCGUGGGGAGCAAACGGACUUAGAUACUCCGGUAGUCCACGCCGUAAACGAUGGGUACUAGGUGUGGGGAACGUAAAGUUUUCCGUGCCACAGCUAACGCAAUAAGUACCCCGCCUGGGGACUACGGCCGCAAGGUUAAA
rnacentral:rRNA from 1 species